rnacentral:rRNA from 1 species
GACGAACCGUGCGAACGUUGUUCGGAUUCACUGGGCUUAAAGGGCGCGUAGGCGGUCGACCAAGUCUGGGGUGAAAUCUUUCGGCUCAACUGGAAAAGUGCCCCCGAUACUGGCCGGCUAGAGGGAGAUAGGGGCAUGUGGAACUUCCGGUGGAGCGGUGAAAUGCGUAGAUAUCGGAAGGAACGCCGGUGGCGAAAGCGACGUGCUGGAUCUCUUCUGACGCUGAGGCGCGAAAGCCAGGGGGGCAAACGGG